rnacentral:rRNA from 1 species
AAUCAACGCUGGCGGCGUGCCUCAGACAUGCAAGUCGAACGAUUAAAGCUCUCUUCGGAGAGUGUAUAGAGUGGCGCACGGGUGAGUAACACGUAAGUAAUCUACCUUUGAGUGGGGAAUAACAGUCGGAAACGACUGCUAAUACCGCAUAAUGCAGCGGCACCGCAAGGUGACAGUUGUUAAAGGAGCAAUUCGCUUAAAGAGGAGCUUGCGGCAGAUUAGCUUGUUGGUAAGGUAACGGCUUACCAAGGCUACGAUCUGUAUCCGGUCUUAGAGGACGGUCGGACACACUGACACUGAAUAACGGGUCAGACUCCUACGGGAGGCAGCAGUCGGGAAUUUUGGGCAAUGGGCGAAAGCUUGACGCAGCGACGCCGCGUGAGGGAAGAAGGCCUGGUGUAACU